rnacentral:lncRNA from 1 species
GGCCAUGCAUUUCUCAGUCUCACUGAUCGAGGGGCCCAGAAGAUAUCUCUCUCAUAGAGAGGGACAAAUCCUAUCUUGAUUGUUCAUUUUCCUCUACAUAAUUUCUAUUAUGCUCAAUCAUAACCUUUAUGAUUGUCCGAUUAAAGACAACGUUUGGUUAUGUCAAAACAUAAUAGUCCUUAUGUUGGAAACUAUGACAAUCUCAAGUCAAAGGAUUAAGACAUAACUACUUUGAGAUUCACUUAUGACAAUGACCCAUGUAGUGAUCUCAAUGCGGGUCCAUCCAAUACUUUGUUCUCUAACAAGUAUCUAUGAUUAUUGAUUAUAUCAACAUAUACAUAAUCAUCUCAUGAUUAUCAAUCAAUAACCAUACCAGUUAUAUUUUAUUAUUAUCAACAUAAUAAUAAGUAACCAGGGAUGAUAAUCAUUAUUAUGUAACAUGCAAA